AAGUCGUAACAAGGUUUCCGUAGGUGAACCUGCGGAAGGAUCAUUAUCCAUCUCAAACCAGGUGCGGUCGCGGCCCGGCCUGGGCGUUCCUGCCUGGUCGGUGGAGGUAACGACCCUCACGCGCCGCCUGCCUGCUACCCUCUUUUUUACGAGCACCUUUCGUUCUCCUUCGGCGGGCAACCUGCCGCUGGAACCAAAACAAAACCUUUUUUGCAUCUAGCAUUACCUGUUCUGAUACAAAUAAUCGUUACAA
rnacentral:misc_RNA from 1 species